UUGGAAUCAUUGGUUUGUGUUGUUGCUGGCCUCGAUUGCAUGUGCACUUUUUGUAGAGAGUUUCUAAGAAAACGGGCCUUAAUUGGCCUCGAGUAUUGGGCUCUCUAUGUCUUUUACAAACCCUUAAUGUAUGUCAUUGAAUGUCUUUUACGAAGGGGGACUUAGUUGAACCCUUUUAUAAAAACAAUA
rnacentral:misc_RNA from 1 species